rnacentral:rRNA from 1 species
AUUGAACGCUGGCGGCAUGCCUUACACAUGCAAGUCGAACGGUAACAGGUCUUCGGAUGCUGACGAGUGGCGAACGGGUGAGUAAUACAUCGGAACGUGCCCGAUCGUGGGGGAUAACGGAGCGAAAGCUUUGCUAAUACCGCAUACGAUCUACGGAUGAAAGCAGGGGACCGCAAGGCCUGGCGCGAACGGAGCGGCCGAUGGCAGAUUGGGUAUUUGGUGGGAUAAAAGCUUACCAAGCCGACGAUCUGUAGCUGGUCUGAGAGGACGACCAGCCACACUGGGACUGAGACACGGCCCAGACUCCUACGGGAGGCAGCAGUGGGGAAUUUUGGACAAUGGGCGCAGGCCUGAUCCAGCAAUGCCGCGUGCAGGAUGAAGGCCUUCGGGUUGUAAACUGCUUUUGUACGGAACGAAAAGGCUCUGGUUAAUACCUGGGGCUCAUGACGGUACCGUAAGAAUAAGCACCGGCUAACUACGUGCCAGCCGCCGCCGUAAAAC